rnacentral:lncRNA from 1 species
UUUUUUUCUUUUUUUUCUUUUUGUAGAGAUAGAGUCUUGCUAUGUUUCCCAGGAUGGUCUUGAGCUCCUGGUUUCAAACAAUCCUCCUUCCUAAGCCUCCUAAAGUGCCAGGAUUAUAGGUGUGAGUCACAGGCCUGGCCAUGAUUUUGUUUUAUUAUUCUCACUUAUUUGAUUAUAAAUGAAUACCACCAUCUUUUCAAAUAUUUAUUGACAUCUGUUUUUCUCCUUCUAUACAUUCCUGGUAAUGUCCUUUAUUUGUAUUUCUUUGGAUUUUCUUCCCUGGUCUGGGCAUAAGAUUCUUAUUUUGGAUUGUAUCUUGUUUUAGAUAUCCAAAUGGUAAAUAUUUUCACCUUAGACUGUUACAUUUUCUGGUUUGUGUAAGGCAUCUUUUCCCAUAAUGAAUUUUAAAAUGUUCUAUAACAAUUGUGGUAAUUGCCGUCCUUGGGUGCCUGAAGUGCUGGGGGCCAUGGAAGAGGUACUACGACAGGAAGAGAAGAUGCCCCCCUCCCAAGGUAGGUCCAGGGAGGAGCGAUGCCACCUGUGGACAUCAUCACUCAACAGGACACUCCAGACACCCACACCACAGGGCACAGUUCCCUCAAUGGAGAAUUCUCUCUUUCUUUUUCUCUCUCUUUCAACUGAGUAAAAAGGCUAAAAUAACUAAUAUUCUGGACCCUUGGUCUCCUGUCUGAACCUGAGCAGGUUUCUCAUAUUUCAUGUGUUUAAGAGGAAGAUAAGAACAGCCUCAUUCAGCUGUUCUGAGGAGUAAAUGAAGAAACAAAACACAAGUGACUGGCAAAUUUUCUAGUAUCAUGCACAAAAAAUUUAGGUUAGGCUGGGCGCGGUGGCCCAUUUUGUUCUUAAUAAAGAAAAAUAGAAUGCUGUACAAUGACAUGGUUCUAUAAGAAUACAAAAUAUUUGUAAUGAUUGAAACAAAAUAGUUGACAACAUUUUUAGAAACUCAGAAAAUUUCAAGCCCCUAAGUCUUGCUUUCCCCACCUAAGUCCAACUAGUUCCUCUGCCUCAGUGACAACGUAUCCCAAGAGAAGAUCAAAUCAGGCUCUGACCCAGACUGCUUAGGUUCCAACCCCAGCUCCACCUCUCACUAGUCGGGUGCCUAUGCGCUCUGUGUCUCACUUUCGUUUUUAAAAUAGAAAAAAGCAAUACUUCUCCACAGAGCCACGGUGUGGCGUAAAUUUAUUUGUAUAAAGCCCUUAGAAUGAAGUUACUAAUUAAGACUUAAUUAUUAUCGACCCCCAUGCCCGAGGACACAACCUAUACACUCUCGGUUGGGGUGAGCAUCUCGGUCAAAGAGCCAAGGACCACUCACGUAGAGCUUUGCCCUCAGAAGCCAAGAAGUCCCUCCCUGCAGCUCUUCUGGAAAGGUCGGGUUGGGGAACGAGAAAGCUGUGAAACACCUUGACCGCGUCGCCGUCCCCCAUAAAAGUUAAAUGCUCCUUUCCCUUCAUGAAAGUGGACGCAACCCUCGCUCUCCUAAAAAGAGGUCAGAAGGCUUCCGGGAUCAUCCAGCGUCCUGCAGGGAUCAGGGAGAAGGGCCGAGGCCCCUGCAGCUGGAGCUCUGACCCCACCCGGUCCUUCGUGGGAAAUUAACAAGAGACCACCAGUCACCAAGUGACAGGGACUGCUUUAAGGCUCUCAUUUGUGUUACCUCUUCCAGUUCCCAAAACGAUUCCAUUAGGAUGGCCCUAAAGUCCCCAUUUUAAAGAACAGUAACGGGAAACCCAAGGAGAUUAACACCCCAACGUUAUAUCGAGAAGAAGUGGCCACGCGCGUGGGGUGCAGGGGGCGGAGUGGGCGAGCUCAGAGCCCCGGAAACCCUGAAACCAGGUGAGACGCGACCCAACCAAGUACCAAUGCCCCCGGGAAGCGAGGACAGACCCAAGCCCAAGAAGGUGCCACGGACGAGAACGCAAACAGCGGCCCUUGCCCCUCCAAACCUCUACUCUCCGACGAGGCCCCUUUUCCCCUAAUUCGAUCACCAGUUCUUUGAGGAUCCAAUGCGUAGGUCCAGGAAAUUCAGAAGGGCCUGCAACGCGCGGAACUGCCCCAAACUAUCGCGGAAAAACUGCAGCAACCUCAGUCCCCGAGCGGAAGUGUCCGCGACUCCACCGAAUGUUU